GUCCUCCAUGGGACCCGAAAGAUGGUGAACUAUACCUGGCUACGGCGAAGCCGUGGGAAACUGCGGUGGAGGCCGGUCGCAAUCCUGACGUGCAAAUCGUGUUGUCUGAGCGGGGCAUAGGGGUGAAAGGCCAAUCGAACCAUCUAGUAGCUGGUUUCCGCCCAAGUUUCCCUCAGGAUAGCUGGGGCUGGGAGUGUGUCCGAACUCGUCGAUCGUGAUGCGGCUUUUGUCCAGUAAAGCAA
rnacentral:rRNA from 1 species